AAAUAAUUUUUUAACAUUAAUAUCAACAACCAGAUCAUAUUUAUUAAUAAAUAACAACGUCGUACGUUUUAAGAACGUUUUAUAAAACGUUACAAUAGGAGAUAUACACCGAGUACAACGUCAAACGUCGAUUGAAGAGACUUAAAAACAUCUAUAUUGGAGUUAAAAAAUAAUGUUUUAUAAAGAAAUCGUUUCGAAUAGGUUUUUUUCAUUUCAAUGACAAGGUCACUGACAAAAAGAACUUAAAAAAACCUUGACUUCGUAAGGUUGUAACCCGACGUCGACUUCUGGCUCUGUUGUUGUAACAAAAACCUAAAGGCAACGCUGGGGCACAAAGAGAACCAGUGAAAGUGAGAGAAGCAUCGGAAAAGAGUCGGAGACUUCUUUGGAGGGAGAGUUGGAAGUCAACACAAGUCAUUGAUAUAUUUAGAACUGAUACUUCUCUUUAUUUCUUUAUUCAUUUUGAAAUCGUGCGAUGACUUUUUUAAAAUGCAAAUUAUUAAAAAGUAAAGGAACUUCUCGGAAAAGUCGGAUCCUUUUCGAAUAUUAACUAAAUAAAAAUGUAACGCAUUUACCAGAAAGCUAAGAGUAAAUAAAAAUCUAUUUUGAUUAAUGCCAUCACA